AUACGUAGGUGGCGAGCGUUGUCCGGAAUUACUGGGCGUAAAGGGCGCGUAGGCGGCUUGUUAAGUCAGGUGUCAAAAUGCGGGGCUCAACCCCGUAUCGCACUUGAAACUGGCAGGCUUGAGUGCAGGAGAGGGAAGUGGAAUUCCUAGUGUAGCGGUGAAAUGCGUAGAUAUUAGGAGGAACACCAGUGGCGAAGGCGACUUCCUGGACUGUAACUGACGCUCAGGCGCGAAAGCUAGGGGAGCAAACAGGAUUAGAUACCCUGGUAGUCCUAGCCGUAAACGAUGGGUACUAGGUGUUGGGGGUGACAAUCCCCCAGUGCCGCAGUUAACGCAUUAAGUACCCCGCCUGGGGACUACGGCCGCAAGGCUGAA
rnacentral:rRNA from 1 species